rnacentral:tRNA from 1 species
UGUCCCGUGGUGUAAUGGUAACACAUGUGAUUUUGGUUCAUACAUUCCAGGUUCGAGUCCUGGCGGGAUAAC